UGGGGAAUCUUGGACAAUGGGCGAAAGCCUGAUCCAGCGACGCCGCGUGGGGGAUGAAGCCCUUCGGGGUGUAAACCCCUGUUGCGAGGGAGGAAUAAGGCCUGGAGGAAAUGCCAGGCCGAUGACUGUACCUCGCGAGGAAGCCCCGGCUAACUACGUGCCAGCAGCCGCGGUAAUACGUAGGGGGCGAGCGUUACCCGGAUUCACUGGGCGUAAAGCGGGUGUAGGCGGCUCGGUAAGUCGGGUGUGAAAUCCCACAGCUCAACUGUGGAAUUGCGCCCGAAACUGCUGAGCUUGGGGCCGGUAGAGGGAGACGGAACUGCCGGUGUAGGGGGUGAAAUCCGUAGAUAUCGGCAGGAACGCCGGUGGGGAAGCCGGUCUCCUGGGCCGCGCCCGACGCUGAGACCCGAAAGCUAGGGGAGCAAACC
rnacentral:rRNA from 1 species